rnacentral:rRNA from 1 species
UACGAAGGGGGCUAGCGUUGUUCGGAAUUACUGGGCGUAAGCGCGCGCAGGCGGCCAUCCAAGUCAGUGGUGAAAGCCCGGAGCUCAACUCCGGAACUGCCAUUGAAACUGGUUGGCUAGAGUACGAGAGAGGUGAGUGGAAUUCCCAGUGUAGAGGUGAAAUUCGUAGAUAUUCGCAAGAACACCAGUGGCGAAGGCGGCUCACUGGCCCGGAACUGACGCUGAGACGCGAAAGCGUGGGGAGCAAACAGG